rnacentral:rRNA from 1 species
AUUGAACGCUGGCGGCAGGCCUAACACAUGCAAGUCGAGCGGAGGAAGGGAGCUUGCUCCUGGAUUCAGCGGCGGACGGGUGAGUAAUGCCUAGGAAUCUGCCUGGUAGUGGGGGAUAACGUCCGGAAACGGGCGCUAAUACCGCAUACGUCCUGAGGGAGAAAGUGGGGGAUCUUCGGACCUCACGCUAUCAGAUGAGCCUAGGUCGGAUUAGCUAGUUGGUGGGGUAAAGGCCUACCAAGGCGACGAUCCGUAACUGGUCUGAGAGGAUGAUCAGUCACAAUGGAACUGAGACACGGUCCAGACUCCUACGGGAGGCAGCAGUGGGGAAUAGUGGACACUGGGCGAAAGCCUGCUCCAGCCAUGCCGCGUGUGUGAAGAAGGUCUUCGGAUUGUAAAGCACUUUAAGUGGGGAGGAAGGGCAGUAAGUUAAUACCUUGCUGUUUUGACGUUACCAACAGAAUAAGCACCGGCUAACUUCGUG